CACGUAGUUAGCCGGGGCUUCUUAGUCAGGUACCGUCAUUUUCUUCCCUGCUGAUAGAGCUUUACAUACCGAAAUACUUCUUCACUCACGCGGCGUCGCUGCAUCAGGGUUUCCCCCAUUGUGCAAUAUUCCCCACUGCUGCCUCCCGUAGGAGUUUGGGCCGUGUCUCAGUCCCAAUGUGGCCGUUCACCCUCCCAGGCCGGCUACUGAUCGUCGCCUUGGUAGGCCGUUACCCCACCAACCAGCUAAUCAGACGCGGGCUCAUCUUAUACUACCGGAGUUUUUCACACAGAAACAUGCGUUCCCGUGCGCUUAUGCGGUAUUAGCAGUCAUUUCUAACUGUUAUCCCCCUGUAUAAGGCAGAUUACCCACGUGUUACUCACCCGUCCGCCGCUAAGUCAAUUUCGAUUCCAUCCGAAAACUUCCUACAAAUCGCUUCGCUCGACUUGCAUGUGUUAGGCACGCCGCCAGCGUUCAUCCUGAGCCAGGAUCAAACUC
rnacentral:rRNA from 1 species